rnacentral:rRNA from 1 species
AAUCUGCCUAGAGGUCGGGGACAACCAUAGGAAACGAUGGCUAAUACCGGAUAUGCCUUACGGGGUGAAAGAUUAAUUGCCUUUAGAAGAGCUCGCGUCUGAUUAGCUAGUUGGUGAGGUAAGAGCUCACCAAGGCAGCGAUCAGUAGCUGGUCUGAGAGGAUGACCAGCCACACUGGGACUGAGACACGGCCCAGACUCCUACGGGAGGCAGCAGUGGGGAAUUUUCCGCAAUGGGCGAAAGCCUGACGGAGCAAGACCGCGUGAGGGAGGAAGGCUCUUGGGUUGUAAACCUCUUUUGUCAGGGAAGAACAAAAUGACGGUACCUGACGAAUCAGCAUCGGCUAACUCCGUGCCAGCAGCCGCGGUAAUACGGAGGAUGCAAGCGUUAUCCGGAAUUAUUGGGCGUAAAGCGUCCGCAGGUGGCUGAUCAAGUCUGCGGUCAAAGACCGGGGCUUAACCCUGGAAAGGCCGUGGAAACUGAUAGAGCUAGAGUACCGUAGGGGUAGAGGGAAUUCCCGGUGUAGCGGUGAAAUGCGUAGAGAUCGGGAAGAACAUCGGUGGCGAAAGCGCUCUACUGGACGGUGACUGACACUCAGGGACGAAAGCUAGGGGAGCGAAUG